GUUGCCGUGGCCGAGUGGUUAAGGCGAUAGACUAUAAAUCUUUUGGGAUCUUCCCGCGCAGGUUCGGUUCGAAUCCUGCCGACAACG